GGAAAGGCGCGCGAUACAGGGUGACAGCCCCGUACACAAAAAUGCACAUGCUGUGAGCUCGAUGAGUAGGGCGGGACACGUGGUAUCCUGUCUGAAUAUGGGGGGACCAUCCUCCAAGGCUAAAUACUCCUGACUGACCGAUAGUGAACCAGUACCGUGAGGGAAAGGCGAAAAGAACCCCGGCGAGGGGAGUGAAAAAGAACCUGAAACCGUGUACGUACAAGCAGUGGGAGCACGCUUAGGCGUGUGACUGCGUACCUUUUGUAUAAUGGGUCAGCGACUUAUAUUCUGUAGCAAGGUUAACCGAAUAGGGGAGCCGAAGGGAAACCGAGUCUUAACUGGGCGUUAAGUUGCAGGGUAUAGACCCGAAACCCGGUGAUCUAGCCAUGGGCAGGUUGAAGGUUGGGUAACACUAACUGGAGGACCGAACCGACUAAUGUUGAAAAAUUAGCGGAUGACUUGUGGCUGGGGGUGAAAGGCCAAUCAAACCGGGAGAUAGCUGGUUCUCCCCGAAAGCUAUUUAGGUAGCGCCUCGUGAAUUCAUCUCCGGGGGUAGAGCACUGUUUCGGCAAGGGGGUCAUCCCGACUUACCAACCCGAUGCAAACUGCGAAUACCGGAGAAUGUUAUCACGGGAGACACACGGCGGGUGCUAACGUCCGUCGUGAAGAGGGAAACAACCCAGACCGCCAGCUAAGGUCCCAAAGUCAUGGUUAAGUGGGAAACGAUGUGGGAAGGCCCAGACAGCCAGGAUGUUGGCUUAGAAGCAGCCAUCAUUUAAAGAAAGCGUAAUAGCUCACUGGUCGAGUCG
rnacentral:rRNA from 1 species